rnacentral:rRNA from 1 species
GCAUAACGCGAAGAACCUUACCUACACUUGACAUGCCUCUUGGGACUUUCAGAGAUGAUUGUUUUCGGUUCGGCCGGGGAGUAGCACAGGUGCUGCAUGGCUGUCGUCAGCUCGUGUCGUGAGAUGUUGGGUUAAGUCCCGCAACGAGCGCAACCCUUAUCGUAUGUUGCCAGCAUUUAGUUGGGCACUCAUGCGAGACUGCCGGUGAUAAGCCGGAGGAAGGCGGGGACGACGUCAAGUCAUCAUGGCCCUUACGUGUAGGACUACAAACGUGCUACAAUGGCGUUAACAAUGGGCAGCGAGGCAGUGAUGCCAAGCUAAUCCUUAAAUAACGUCUCAGUUCGGAUUGUACUCUGCAACUCGAGUACAUGAAGUUGGAAUCGCUAGUAAUCGCAAAUCAGCAUGUUGCGGUGAAUACGUUCCCGGGUCUUGUACACACCG